AAUUCUGUUCAGGGCGGAGGAAGUGGGUGUGAACUUUAUGAGAAGGAAGUAAGAUAAAUGGGAGUUUUUCAGACGGAAAAAGUGAAUGGGGAACUCCAGACGGAGGGAACCCCUGGAGAAAAAGGCAGAGUCAUGAAAAUAUAGAGGCUGCUGAUCCCAGAGAAGAAACUGAGACAUGGGGAGGAUAAGAUCGUAGAGUUAUUAAGCAGAGUGGAUGGGACUCCCAUGCAGGCUGCCUGUCUCCAGAGCCCACCUCUUACCUGCCUGACCCUCUGGGAUUUCUGUGAAGUCUCAGUCAGACCCUGCAUGACAAGCGCUCCGCACAGUAUCACGCCCACGGUGAGCCUUCGUGAAUGGUAAUGCUCACAGGCACUUUAUCACAAGGUAUCCUGAGACCUUCCUCUAUCAAGUUGAACGACGUCUGGACAAGAGCAAAACAUCUGGCACCCACAAGUUCCCAAGUGGUUUCGAUAUUUUGAAUCCACAAUAUGCAGCUUGCGAGCUAUGCCGAUGCGGGGCUGUGGAGUGGUGCAGCUGAGAAGCGCCGUGGCAGGGCUGAGAAGCCUGAUUUCUCACCCUGGUCCCAUCUGUGACCUGAUGCACACCCUGCACAGGCCCUUCUCUGCCCUGGCCCCCCUGCUGUAAAAUGAGGGGCCUGGGGGAGGUAGUUUCUGAGGUUCCUUCCCCCUGCGACAGGCUGCGGUUCUUAAUUCACUGAGCCCCAGUCUCCUUGGUAAGGAUUCCAGGAAGGAUUUGGACUGGAACAACUGUUUUGUGUUCUCUUUUCCCAUUUAUUUAACUUCCUAUUUUAAAAAUAAGACCCACAUCCCUGACAACCUGAGUGUCAGGUUCAAGAGCAACGAUGGCGCUCAGACUGGUGUUGCUUUGGAAGCUUUGACUCUGCGUUCUUUCUGAGAAUAAUCAACCCAAUUCUACUUGGAACUUCACGGCAACAAACUCUUUGGGAUGCAAAAGCAUUUCCUUGCGGUUUCAUAGAGUUCGGGCCCUGCAGGACAAGGGCCUUAGGACAUGCCUAUUUACAUCGCUGGUUUGUCCCUGAUGUAAUUGGAAACAAUCUCUAAACGCUUUGGCAAGCAUCCUCUCCAGUUUCUGCACAGCACCCCAGCGCCGCAUAAAUGAAUAUUGUGCCGCUCAGAGGGGUGCUAACUGCCUCCUCCAUGUUUACAUGUGCCUGAGUCUGCCGGAAUAGACGCAUGUGGACUGGUGAGCUGAGGGAGCCAGGGGUCAGUGUUAAGGAAGCCUUCCUACUAGACAUUUCUUACGCGGGUUUCUUCCUGGCCAUUCAAGAGAGGCAGUUGGUGGUGUGGCUUGCACAAGAAAUGCAUUGUAAACUCAUUCCGCAAAUUGUGGAGGCCAAGUGCGCCAGGGAGCAGAGGCCAUGGGGAGUGAGGCCUUCUUUAGUUUGAACCAAGGCCUGUGUCUCUUAAACACUCCUGGGGUGAGUUGGCAGUCGCAGUCUAGCCAAUGCUGGCUGAAAAGUCAGAGGACCAAGAAAGUGCGGUGAUUCAGGCUUCUCCCCCGCUCCCCUGGGUGGGUCGGUGGUCAGACCUCCCCAGAGUGCCCAGGCCACUCCUGCCACUCAGACUCAGAACCCAGCUGCAACAGAAGACCAACCAACACUUAGGCUUUCAUUUUCAUCUUUAAAAUUAAAGAACAAUUUUAUUGAAUAAAUUUGACAUAACGUUGUGUCAGUUUAAAA